ACAAGUCUGUUUUGUUCUUAACGCCUCGUUUACACGGACCGAAUAAAUCCUCCUCUGCUGAGCGAUCGCAGCGUGACCAGGCGAAGGCAUUCACGCCGCACAAAAUGUUCCGCGUGUUUCCGUUAUUGUUUUCCGCGGCGGGUGGAUGUUUGUGUGCCGGAGUAGCAAAUAGCCCAAGUGCUGGAGGCGGAAAAACAAAGUUCAUGUCCCUGCGCUGCGGCGGUGCAGGUCGACCUCAUCUGUUGUUAUGGUAACUCCUGUGAUGAGGGCAGGUUGGCUCACGGGGGCCCAGAGGCCAGCCAUGGUUCCCCGCGAGCUGCUGUUAGGCAAGCAACUCUGGCGAAAUUGGAGCUGUCAUUUCCCCAGGAAAAUUGCUCACAGGCACUUGAGCUCUCUCCUGACCCAAAGCUAAUUUGUAAAUUUUCUUUCGGACAAACUUUUCAGCUUCCCUUUUUUUUCCCCUCUCAAUCAUUUUUCUUCCCGAGUCACGUCCUUCUGCCCUGACUGACAGGUGCUAAAUCAUUUGUCUUAGAGCAACCCCUUUGUCCACAAAUAGAAUGAGGCCAAGGCUCUAACCCAUCUAACACAUGGACUUUGUGGGAUUGGAAAACACACACCGGUUCAUAGACAUGCAGGUGAAGUCGUGCACAGCAGGUACCAGCCAGAACCCAUCAGACACAAGCAUGUUUGUGCACAAAACCUAAAUAUUUGUAUGAGCAGUAAAGGAAUCAGUGCCGAGUUAAUAAGUCUGCAUUGAUUUCUUUAUUUUUUUCCCCUCUGUCUAGUUUCUGCAGCCAUCGAUUUUCACCAGGGAAGCCGAAAGCAGAAAGGAGGGUGAUUGGCAUUUGAGAACGUCUAUGUUAAGGAGAAACUGUUUUUUUUUAUUUUUUUUUUUUAUGGUACUGGAAUGUGUGUGUUUGUGCGUCUUGCUGUCAGACUGCCUGGAGCACCCUCUGGGCAGCAGCAGCACUCCGCCGCCGCUCCCACAGGAACAUUUAAACUAAAAACCCUCCAUCCGUCUCCUCGUUCUCAGAAAAAAAACAUGAUAGAUGUUUGCUUUUAGGACUUCGCACAUGACAAAGCGCUGCGCUGAAUGGAAACUGUUGCUCCUAAUGUACACAGGCUGAAGGAAAAAAACAAAAGUCACUCAUGUGAGGGAGCUCAGGAACUGAUGCUGAGCCUCACAAGCUGUACAGCAGCAGCAGCACUUACUCCAACUCUAAUUGGAGUGGAACAGAGGAACUGAAAUGCCGCGCCUCCUUAUGUCUGCAAAAGAGAAAUCGCAGGAAUUUCUGCAAGACAAUUUGAUUUGCAGUUGACAAUUGAGAACUAAAAGCACAAUGGCAUCCACACUGUGGCAUAAUCAAUGUCCAUUUUCUCGCACAAGAUUUAUUUUUCUGCCGCCGCCGCUCUGACAGGCUGAUUGCAACAUCACGUUGUUAUUACUCAAAGCUUAAAAGGAGAUUUGAAACCUCAUUUGAGCUUUUUUUCUGUUCUUGUAGGAAAGUCUCUGAUAUUUAUUAGGUAUUUUAUUUUGAAAGACGCUUAUUGACGUAAUUUCCUUUUGAGUAAGUUUCUGUUUUGAGACUGCACCCCCACUUAUGUUGCUGCUGCCGUGUGCGUUAAUAAGCCAAAACCACACGCCACAAACGCACAUGUAUCCAUUCAACUCUUGGAAUUAAAAAGUUCGCUGGAAACUGGACUCUCUGUGCCCUACUCUCUGACCGGAGCUCAGUCGAAGGGGGCUAUAAGACCGGCAUUCCCCUUUAGAGUGUUCCCACUCUGUCACAGUUCUUAUUCCCUGCUUUCUUUUUACUGAAGCCAGCGAUUUAUCUCUGUGAUGACAGAACAGCAACGGUGCAAAAAAA